AAACCAACAGGGAUUGCCUUAGUAGCGGCGAGUGAAGCGGCAAGAGCUCAAAUUUGAAAUCUGGUAUCUUCGAUGCCCGAGUUGUAAUUUGAAGAAAACAAUCUUGGAAUUGGUCCUUGUCUAUGUUCCUUGGAACAGGACGUCACAGAGGGUGAGAAUCCCGUGCGAUGAGGAACUCUUUUCUUUAUAAGAUGUUUUCGAAGAGUCGAGUUGUUUGGGAAUGCAGCUCAAAGUGGGUGGUAAAUUCCAUCUAAAGCUAAAUAUUGGCGAGAGACCGAUAGCGAACAAGUACUGUGAAGGAAAGAUGAAAAGAACUUUGAAAAGAGAGUGAAAAAGUACGUGAAAUUGUUGAAAGGGAAGGGUAUUCGAUCAGACUGGUAUUUAGUUAUCAUUGCUCCUUGUGGGUGGUGCUCUAGCUUUUUACUGGGCCAACAUCAGUUUUGGUGGUAAGAUAAUCGCAGUUGAAUGUAGCUCCCUCGGGAGUAUUAUAGCUUCUGUUGAUGUUACCUAUCGGGACUGAGGUCUGCGGCUUUGCCUAGGAUGUUGGCGUAAUGAUCCAAUACCGC
rnacentral:rRNA from 2 species